UAGGGAAUCUUCGGCAAUGGGGGCAACCCUGACCGAGCAACGCCGCGUGAGUGAAGAAGGUUUUCGGAUCGUAAAGCUCUGUUGUACGGUCAAGAACGAGUGUGAGAGUGGAAAGUUCACACUGUGACGGUAACUUACCAGAAAGGGACGGCUAACUACGUGCCAGCAGCCGCGGUAAUACGUAGGUCCCGAGCGUUAUCCGGAUUUAUUGGGCGUAAAGCGAGCGCAGGCGGUUAGAUAAGUCUGAAGUUAAAGGCUGUGGCUUAACCAUAGUACGCUUUGGAAACUGUUUAACUUGAGUGCAGAAGGGGAGAGUGGAAUUCCAUGUGUAGCGGUGAAAUGCGUAGAUAUAUGGAGGAACACCGGUGGCGAAAGCGGCUCUCUGGUCUGUAACUGACGCUGAGGCUCGAAAGCGUGGGGAGCAAACAGGAUUAGAUACCCUGGUAGUCCACGCCGUAAACGAUGAGUGCUAGGUGUUGGGUCCUUUCCGGGACUCAGUGCCGAAGCUAACGCAUUAAGCACUCCGCCUGGGGAGUACGACCGCAAGGUUG
rnacentral:rRNA from 1 species